rnacentral:rRNA from 1 species
AUUGAACGCUGGCGGCAGGCCUAACACGUGCAAGUCGAGCGGAUGGAGGGAGCUUGCUCCUGGAUUCAGCGGCGGACGGGUGAGUAAUGCCUAGGAAUCUGCCUGGUAGUGGGGGAUAACGUCCGGAAACGGGCGCUAAUACCGCAUACGUCCUGAGGGAGAAAGUGGGGGAUCUUCGGACCUCACGCUAUCAGAUGAGCCUAGGUCGGAUUAGCUAGUUGGUGGGGUAAAGGCCUACCAAGGCGACGAUCCGUAACUGGUCUGAGAGGAUGAUCAGUCACACUGGAACUGAGACACGGUCCAGACUCCUACGGGAGGCAGCAGUGGGGAAUAUUGGACAAUGGGCGAAAGCCUGAUCCAGCCAUGCCGCGUGUGUGAAGAAGGUCUUCGGAUUGUAAAGCACUUUAAGUUGGGAGGAAGGGCAGUAAGUUAAUACCUUGCUGUUUUGACGUUACCAACAGAAUAAGCACCGGCUAACUUCGUG